UACGGGGGGGGCGAGCGUUGUUCGGAAUUACUGGGCGUAAAGGGCGCGUAGGCGGUUCGCUAAGUUGGAUGUGAAAACUCUGGGCUCAACCCAGAGCCUGCAUCCAAAACUGGCGGGCUAGAGUUCUGGAGGGGGUAGCGGAAUUCCUGGUGUAGCGGUGAAAUGCGUAGAUAUCAGGAGGAACACCGGUGGCGAAGGCGGCUCUCUGGACGGUGACUGACGCUGAGACGCGAAAGCGUGGGGAGCAAACAGG
rnacentral:rRNA from 1 species